CAGCACCUCAAGUGGUCAGGAUGAUUAUUGGGCCUAAAGCAUCCGUAGCCGGCGCUGUAAGUUUUCGGUUAAAUCUGUACGCUCAACGUACAGGCUGCCGGGAAUACUGCAGCGCUAGGGAGUGGGAGAGGUAGACGGUACUCGGUAGGAAGGGGUAAAAUCCUUUGAUCUAUUGAUGACCACCUGUGGCGAAGGCGGUCUACCAGAACACGUCCGACGGUGAGGGAUGAAAGCUGGGGGAGCAAUCCGGAUUAGAUACCCCAGUAGUCC
rnacentral:rRNA from 1 species